rnacentral:rRNA from 1 species
UACGUAGGUGGCAAGCGUUGUCCGGAAUUAUUGGGCGUAAAGGGCUCGUAGGCGGUUUGUCGCGUCGGGAGUGAAAACACGGGGCUUAACCCCGUGCCUGCUUCCGAUACGGGCAGACUAGAGGUAUGCAGGGGAGAACGGAAUUCCUGGUGUAGCGGUGAAAUGCGCAGAUAUCAGGAGAACACCGGUGCGAAGGCGGUUCUCUGGCAGUACUGACGCUGAGGAGCGAAAGCGUGGGAGC